rnacentral:rRNA from 1 species
UACGUAGGGUGCGAGCGUUGUCCGGAAUUAUUGGGCGUAAAGGGCUCGUAGGCGGUUUGUCGCGUCGGGAGUGAAAUCCACUGGCUUAACUGGUGGCUUGCUUUCGAUACGGGCAGACUGGAGGUAUGUAGGGGAGACUGGAAUUCCUGGUGUAGCGGUGAAAUGCGCAGAUAUCAGGAGGAACACCGAUGGCGAAGGCAGGUCUCUGGGCAUUAACUGACGCUGAGGAGCGAAAGCAUGGGGAGCAAACGGG